UAAUAGGAAGGACGAACAGGGGCAAAAUUAUAAUUUCAGUGUUACAUUUUUGGGGCAAAUUUGGAACUAAAGUCACUACUCACUACCAAGGGAUCUAAUCUCUCUCUCUCGCUUCUCCCUCGUAUUGCUCCUCAAUUCAGACCAAAUUUCUCUGCUUUAGGUCAUACAAUAGAUGCACCUCUCAUCAGGUUUACCAAAAUAGUACUCCACCAAUCAAUAACUCAAAAGGAAUAUAUGAAAGAAAAGGUACUGUGAAUUUACUGCGGAACCCUCGACCGACGAAUUGCUGACAGAAAUUUGAGCCGUCGUACUAGAUAUGCACAAAUGUCGCCUGAGAGCAAACAUUUACUUUUGUCCCGACUAAGAGAUAAAAGAGUUGAAUCGAAAAAGCGAAAACUCCUUCAUCCUUCAAGGACUACAGUCUCAUCUCCUGAAGUUGACAUCCGGCCUCCAAAAAGAAGAGCUCUUACUAUUAUCACUCCUGAAGGAGGUGUCAGCAACUUUUAGUUUUUCAUUGUGUUAAAUAUACAGUGCUCAAGGAAUUGGAAGAGAUUGUAGAUCUCUUUGUUAGAUGAUAGUUCAAAUGAGUUGCAAAUGUGAAUUGGAAAUCUCAACGUAGCUUAUAAGUUAUGUAAGUAUUAAGUGAAAUCCUCAAAAAUGAAUGAUGCAGGCAAGAAGUGCAAAUUACCUGUUCCAUUUUCUUCAAGCAAGCAGGAAAAGCCUGCGUCAAUAUCAUCCUCAUUAGAUUCAAAGGUUACAUUCUUUUGCUGAAAUGUAUAGCCAGUUGUAAGCUUUGAGAAUAUGGGGUGAUGCAGUUUCAAGUUAUCAAAAUGUGGUGUGCUGAAAAAAGCAUUUUUGUUGAAUUCAACAUGAAGGCCUUGGAGAUGGUAGACUAGGACAUAUCGUAAACACAACAUAAAACCUCAUUGAUUCUUUUUUGGAGGUUUUCCAUGCCAUAAUGGAAGCCAGUAUUGCUCAUAACUCAAAAGACGUGUUUGCAUAAGGUCCAGCUUCCCAUUUCAAUCAUCGGCAGCAUAGUUGUUUUCUGAUCUCUUGCAACUCCACAACAAUUGGGAAUUAAGUCGCUCAAUGUUGGAAAGAUCAGCAAAAUAGUAAACCAGUUAAAUGGACUCUCCUGCUGCACUGAGGGACGUGCCUCGAUCAAACCAAUAAAUACUUUUACUUCUUUAGAAACUUCACUUCUCUGGGAGGGCUGCAACCACAGAUGCAUGUUCAAAUGCACUGAUCUUUCUGGUAGCAUUCUUCAUUACACUCAAUACUCAUAAAAGUCUUGUGGAAUUAGAAGAAGAAAGUUCUUGAAAACGUACUUUUGGUGGAUUGACUGAAACAGUUUCAUUUCCAACAAGUGCCGGUGAAAGAAACAAAAAGUAAAUGAACUCUUCAAGCACAAAUGAACAAGAAAGGGAAGCAACAAUUACAAAACCUGAAACUUCAGGCAAGAUGCUGAAACUAGAACCACCGAGGGUGGAACUCUUCUUCUACCUCACCUCUGAAUGUGAAUAGAGAUAUAUCAAUCCCUUCUUCCUCUAAUGUGAUUGUGUUUGGAGGAUGCAGCAACAUACCCUUAAAAUCUAUGCUGCACUUUCAAGGUUGAAGUCGAUAAAAAUCAAGUAUGUCAAAACUUACACCUCUACUAUGGUUGUGCGGUUACUAGUUGAAACUUGAAGAUGGAAAAGAAAUGCAUCUUGAAGUGCAAGAGACAUGCUAGUGUAUUUGUGGUCAAAACAACAAUAAGGUUGUUAGAAGGAAGUGACAAAAAAAGGCUGGAGAAGAACCUCCAAAAUCAGUUGUAGUCAUCAUAUUUUUUCGUAAUUUGGAUUCUAAUAUUCCAGAUCUGGAACUAAUUGAAUUGACUAUUACUUUUGUUUCCUCC